rnacentral:lncRNA from 1 species
GUUAUCAAUAGAAAAAGUAGGCAGGGCAAAUAGUAAUAAUGCUCACACUCACAGGCUCCUGUCAUCGUCUUUGCAUUAGGCAGCUCAGUCAUAGGCCUCUCACAUGUCUUCUCUCUUUCUUGUGUUAACACAGUUUUAGUAUCAUACAUUGGUAUAUUACAGACAUUGUCACUUGCUGCAAUGUGGGAACAGGAAUGCAAAUAAAAUGCUAAAGAAAUUGUAACAGAUAUGUCCAACAAAGUAACAUUAAUGCUGUGUUGCAUUGGCUGAAGCAUAAUGAUGUGCCUCAAUCUUGCAAUGUACCUCUAUCUUGCAAUGGACCAAGGUACUACUGAUGUCAUCACAUAAUGAGUCUUACAUAAUUCAAGACAAAGGCAUCAAGACAACACUAAGACUAAAAACUGAUUUAUUAAAUUAUUGUGUUUUUUUAUAAUUAUUAUUGUUCAAAUGGAAUAUUUGGCACUGUGCAGCAAA